rnacentral:rRNA from 1 species
GACGAACGCUGGCGGCAUGCUUAACACAUGCAAGUCGUACGGUAAGGCCCUUUCGGGGGUACACGAGUGGCGAACGGGUGAGUAACACGUGAGUAACCUGCCCACAACUUUGGGAUAACGCUAGGAAACUGGUGCUAAUACUGGAUAUGUGCUCCUGCUGCAUGGUGGGGGUUGGAAAGCUCCGGCGGUUGUGGAUGGACUCGCGGCCUAUCAGCUUGUUGGUGGGGUAGUGGCCUACCAAGGCGGCGACGGGUAGCCGGCCUGCGAGGGUGACCGGCCACAUUGGGACUGAGAUACGGCCCAGACUCCUACGGGAGGCAGCAGUGGGGAAUAUUGAACAAUGGGCGCAAGCCUGAUGCAGCAACGCCGCGUGCGGGAUGACGGCCUUCGGGUUGUAAACCGCUUUCAGCAGGGACGAAGCUUUUUGUGACGGUACCUGCAGAAGAAGCACCGGCUAACUACGUG